UUUGCAGCUAUAAGGAAGAAUUGACUAUAGACAAAGGAAACGCCAGUGAUUUUUUUUUUCACAGAAAUGUCCUGUAAGAGGGCAUGACCCCCUUGCAAAUCAAUGCAAAGUGUUCACAGUGUGGCACUGGCUGCCACGUUGCCCACCUUGAAUCAAUCCACUUGUGGAAAAAGUUCUUGCUUGCUUUUUCCCAAGUGUUGUAGAUGUGAACAGGUCUCAAAAUUAGGCGUGCAUCCGAAGGGUUGCUGUGAACACUCCUUAUUUCAUAGUAUUGCAUUCUUCCAUGGAGCUAGAGAAUCAGAUCUCUCUGGAAGCCUAGAUGGGCAGACGCAUCCUCCGACAUCUGUUGAGCAAAGGAAGAGAGAAAAGAGAAUCACUGUGGUUUAGAGAAAGUCCAGGCUUUAAAGUCUGAAGAGGUAUCAGCAAGAGCUAAGAACACCCCAGCAAACACACCAUGGGUCACCUGUUAUGCAGAUGAAGAAGUGGAGUUUUGGAAGACAAAAGUGUUUCGCCUAAGCCUUGCCAUUUACAAGGAGCUGAUCAAGGAUUCUAAUUCAGGUCUACACUGCUUAAAUCCUCAUUUCAAUCCUUCAGAACCUCUCUGUUCAAAGGGUGGGCCACCACUGACUGACAGCUUUGGCAUCUCUUGGAAGCUCAGUUGGUAGAGCCUCAAUCCAGACCAGCAGAAACAGAAAGUGCAUUUGACAGGAUACUCUGGGGAUUUAUUAGCGUGAUGAAGAUUUCAAAGUGCUGGGUGCCACACUGCCUCUCCUGGAGAUAGCAGAGCUCAGACAAGGCUCAGGGGUGGGGACUCUUUCCAGACUCCUCAUACCAAGUAAGAGCGCAACAUUUCCUUACAACUCACAGCAACUUGAGGUGACCUUGGGAUAAUCUGGGGUCAUUAGGCUUGACUCUGGCUGCUAUUUACAUAUCAUUUGAGGUCAGCCCUGCACCUAAUUCCUAAACCUUCACAUUUUCCUACAAGAACUUGGAAAAGAGGGAAGGGGAAAACAUGAAACCCUGAUGAAUGGAAGAAGGAAACAGGUAUUUGUAAAGUUUCUCCUUUGUUCCUAGAGACCAUCCAUGUAUUACUUCAUUUAAUCUCCAUGACAAACACCCUUUUAAGAUAAGGUGACCAACAAGAAGUUUAAGAGUUAUGUCCAGUGUUGCCUACACCUGGCAAUUUAACAAAGACACACAAGUGUAAGCGUCCUGCCUGACCAAAGUGGCAAAGUUUGUAAGUGGCAGGGCCAGGUUUGGAAUGCAGGUCUCCUGAUGACUAAUCUUUCCUCAACCCAGAACACUUCCUCCAUGAUGAGACUGGAGCCCUGUUCCCCUGUCCAACACAAGCCUCAGAGCUGCAGACAAGGAUCAGAAGGAAGAAAAAUUUGUUGAAGACUGAAAAGAGAAAUAUCCUUGGUGGAUGGAGAUAAUGCGUCUCAGCCCAGAAGUCAGGAGAGGGAGUCACCGGCUGACAUUUAGCCUUCUCUCUAAACUCUCCUAGGCCUCAACGGCUCUGAAUUUCUCCUUUCUUCUCCUCCUCCUUACUCCCAGGCCUGUCUCUUUAGGUUUAAGGAAAAGUCCAAGAUAAUAAAUUCCUUUUACAAGAAAAGAAAGACGGGUUAAUUUGCUGUCUCUCCUCCACCUAGACAACUGGUAUUGGUUCUGAAAAUUGCCA